rnacentral:rRNA from 1 species
AUGCACGCUGACAGAAUGCUUCACACAUGCAAGUCUACUUGAACUUCGGUUUGGGUGGCGGACGGGUGAGUAACGCGUAAAGAACUUGCCUCACAGUUAGGGACAACAUUUGGAAACGAAUGCUAAUACCUGAUAUUAUGAUUUUAGGGCAUCCUAAAAUUAUGAAAGCUAUAUGCGCUGUGAGAGAGCUUUGCGUCCCAUUAGCUAGUUGGAGAGGUAACGGCUCACCAAGGCGAUGAUGGGUAGCCGGCCUGAGAGGGUGAACGGCCACAAGGGGACUGAGACACGGCCCUUACUCCUACGGGAGGCAGCAGUGGGGAAUAUUGGACAAUGGACCAAAAGUCUGAUCCAGCAAUUCUGUGUGCACGAUGACGUUUUUCGGAAUGUAAAGUGCUUUCAGUUGGGAAGAAAAAAAUGACGGUACCAACAGAAGAAGUGACGGCUAAAUACGUG